ACUCAGUUGGUAAAGCACAAGGUUCUUAACCUUGUGGACGUGGGUUCAAGCCCCAU
rnacentral:tRNA from 1 species